AGAGUAGGAAGUUUUUACUUAUAAAAUGUUCAAACAAGAUUUUUAAUUCAUGUAAAAGGAACAAAAUAUGGAUCAAAUUUUUAAAUUUAUUUAUGCUUUGAUAAUAUCUCUUUCUCUAUUUUUUGUUGUAACCAACGCCCUAUGGCAAUGCAAAGAAAACGAUGAUUGUCCAAUAAAUAUGUGUGAGCCACAUCUACUUAUUCGAUGCAUUAAAUAUGUUUGUAAAUGUGUCUAAGAGAAAGUGUUCCCAUUUAUAUGAAAAAUAAUUAUAGCUUACUAAAAUCGUAUAAUUUAUUUGUACGUCAUAAUUCCUCCCACACUUUAAUUUAUGUUUAUUAUUUGACAAGUUCAAGAAUGUAUUUUUAUAUUAUACAAGUAUUGUUACAUACAUUCAUUAAUAUGAAAUAUUGAAAACAAAAAUGUCA